CAGAUCCUGCGGCGGCUGCUUCUCCUCCGGACCAUCUGGUUCUAGGUCCCGAGUCCUAAAGUCUCUGACUUAGGAAAGUUCCUUUGCUGUUAUUUAUAGGGGUGGUGGAUCCCAUGGCAACAGGAACGUCACUGGCUGGCUGCCUGCCACCUGGUGCACACUUGGUACAGUUUAAUUGUAAACUACCGCCUCUGAGCUCCGCGGGAGGCACUUGGUUGUGUGACUCUGACCUAUCAUUCAUAAGAAAAAACAGGGCUGGCUUCAGAGCGGAGGGUACUUAUUCUCACCGUCAUUCAGGGGAGGAAAGAUUUGGGCCGGAGAAACGGAUCGCAGCCUUCUCCUGUCUUCUCUCUAGCUGUUCAAUCUCCAGGAGGUGUCACUGGACGUAAUCAGCCCUGUGUGACCCUAGGGCAGGACACACAUGCACACAGUAGACACUGCAUCUGCCCAUGUACCAGUUGGGCCUAAACCCUUGAGUCUUUUCCCCUGCCUGAGUCAAUGUGUUCCUCAUAGAGGAGGAAAAGCAGCCAUCAGAUCCACCCCUGUCCUUCUUCCCCGAUUCCAGCCCUCUUCUCUCUCUCCUCCCCAACCCAACCACUCAGCUUUAGCAGUGUCCAGCUGUGGGGACAGCAAGUGGCCAGAUGUAUAAUAGAGGCCUGUAUGGGCUGGAUCCAUUGCCUCUGAGGCUUGUGAUGUCUGUAGAUUUCAUCUGUAGAUCUCAAAGUUUUACAAAGGUGGGUGAGUGUACAUAUAAGGUGCAGAGGUUAAGUGAUUGCCCAAGGUACUCUUCAGUCAGGGGUAAGCCAGGCAGAAUCGUCCUGUGGUAUGGUGAAUCAGGGCAACCGCUCCGGGCCCCAUGCUUGAUAGGCCCGCAGGGCAAUGCAUUGGCUGGUGUAGUCGGUCGUAAGUGACGGGUCAGUCCCAGAAGUGAUGGAUUCGUCACUUCUACCCUGGGCCCACACACCCCUAGAGACGGCUCUGAUCCAGGAAUAGAAGCCAGAUCUUAAUACCAAUCCAGUGCCCUAUUUUAUCACACUGGCAGGCAAAUUGUCCUCUACAGAUGCACUCAAAACCAGGUUGUCACAGUGGGUGUAAAGAGCAUACUGUGUGGCCUUAAACCAGGGUAACCACUGCCUCAGAAGACCCUCUCUGUAUCUGGCCAUGAUUAGAAGUGCCAGGCAAAUCCAAAACCCCCCCCCCACCUCUGUGUGCAGGGCUGAUGGCCUUAAAGUUUGGCCUGGCAUGUUUGCCUUAUAUGGUAUGUUGCAAUUGUCAGAGUACACAAGUGAUAUGGAGUUUGUGCUUUGGGAGUUGUAUUUAAAUGAAUAGAAAAAAGUGAAUAUAUAUGCGUAAAGGCAUGGGAUGCAAAGAUUUAUUAAUUUAUUAAAUAGAAUUGACUUGCAGGGGCUAUGGUAAAUUUGGGAAGUAAGAAUAAAUUCUUAUGUCCAUUUUAAUUAAAGACACCCACCUUGGGAAUCAGACUUAUGUUUUCCCUUUUACUCCCACAUUUACCUGUUUACAAGCUGAUGAUUCAUGCUCAGAAUAAAAGACAUCAAUUUAAAACAAAACAUAAUUAAAGGAAGUAGAGUGUCCUUCAUUUCAGUAAAGAAGACCCAGCACUGCAGAGAAAUGACACUGCCUCAUAGAAUAAUGUGAAGCAAUCCUGCGGUGUGGGAAAUAUUGCAACGUUAAGCCAGAGGAACAGUAGUCUUUGGUGAAUUACAUUUGUUAAUAAGGACAUUUAAUUGUGGAGCUGGUCUUGGACAAGAAUUCUGGAUCUAGAUUCUGGAUCUGAAUGUUGUGGCUUGAGCCUACAUCUCUAUAGAUCCAAACAUCUCUACAGAAUGCAAAUAUUCAUAAGUUGCGGUGAGCCAGGCUUGUUCUUAUGGCUAUUUACACUCCCGUUCUGUGUCUUCAUCCUCCUAAAGAAUUUUUGCUCUGGAAAGCUGCUCUAUGUAGGUCUGAGAUAUAGACAUUCCUAUUAAAUGGAGCGGAGCUCUGGUUCUUUCUCCAAGAAGAAAUUUGAGAGUAGCAGCACUUUUUAUUAAGGCUGAUCCAAAAUUUUCUGUCAAAACAUUUUGACAAUUGAGUUAUCGACAACAUGACAUUUUUUGCAGAAAGUGUCUGCUUUUCUAGAAUAUUGUUGAGGGAGGUGAAUUUUGUUCUGUUUUGUUUUUGUUCAAAGCAUUUCAUUUUCUCAAAAAAAAAAUAAUGAACUUUUCCAUGGAAAAUUGGAAAAAUUCCCCAAUUUCCAACCAGCUCUAUUUCUAAUGCAAUAAAACACAAAUUCUUACUGCUUUGCAUGAACAAGAAGAAAGAUGCAAACAGUGAAAGAAUGAACCAAAAUUAAUGUAAAAGGAAAAAGGCAAAGAGAACAGCCUAGUCAGAUCUGUUUUACAGAGAUCAAUCUUGCAGCUUUCUCAUCAUGUCUUGGAUUCUGCUCCCCAAUUCACAACUCCCUGUAGCACCACACUAGCAACCUGUUUCCCAAUAUGCUCUUUUCCCAGGCUCAGACCUAUGGCAAAGCAUUGCAGAAGUUCUGCCACUUGGAGACUUGCUCUGUCCUCUUUUUCAGUGGUUUCAGGAUCUCCAAUUCUGCACCCACCUCUUUCUACAGUCCAGAAAGAGCUGGUGUCAGCUUUGGGCAGAGGACAUCGGUAUAAUGCCAACAGAUCAAAGAGUGAAGUGUUCAUAAGAAGAUCUGCCUACUGAAAUUAUACUAUUAGCUGUUCUCUAGUCAGGCUGCAUUUGGAUAAAAACUGCAAAUACUUCCCACUGCAAAUUGUUAGCAUGUUGUUUAUUAUUUGUAUUGCAAUUAGUCACUAGAGAUCUCAGUGAGGUCAGGGCUCCAUUGUGCUUGGCACUGUACAGACAUAUAGUCAGAGACGGCUCAGUGGCAAAAAGUUGCAAUAUCAAAGACAAGACAUAAUUUCAAACAAACAGGAGGAAAGGGGGAGAAGGAGGGGCAGGAAUAAAUUCUUACCACAAUUUGGAGAUGUAAUAAGCCGAUCAGUAGCAGUAACAUUAACUUGCCACUUGCCUAAACAUUAUCAGCGGGGUGGGUUUUGUAGGCAGCAUGACAGAGGUGAGUUAAGGGGGCAUUUGAAGGAAGAGAAGGUAAUGGCUGUAUGGAUUCUAUAGGGGAGUUUUUUCUAUGCAUAUUGUGCAGCAUGGGAGAAAGUGCAAAGGUGCUUCUGAAAAAAUCUGGUGGAUGGGAGGUAGGUAGAUAGGUAAGCUUUUCUGGUAAGGCUAGCUGGAGGAUCAUUGUAACAAAGGCUGCCACACACUGAACUAAAAUGUAAGUGUAUCUUUAUCAUAUUUGGAUACAGUGCACCAUGUUCACUCUGUUUUGUCCCCUACUCUAGCCCUUGCUCCCUCCACAUGCACACGGGUCCUUAGUUAUGUACACAUACCUCUCCACUAACAUCGCUUUAAAUCACACACCUACAGUGGAAUGUUUUGCACUCAUAACCUGCCACAUUACAAACAUAGCAUGUGUCUAACUUCCUGCUUCAGGGGCUGGUCAAUACCUGAAGCUAAGGGAGUUGGAUCCCAUUUCAACUUACCCUCCCCCAUCCUUA